CGUAGGGUGCAGGCGUUAAUCGGAAUUACUGGGCGUAAAGCGUGCGCAGGCGGUCUCUUAAGACAGGUGUGAAAUCCCCGGGCUUAACCUGGGAACUGCGCUUGUAACUGAGAGGCUAGAGUGUGGCAGAGGGGGGUGGAAUUCCACGUGUAGCAGUGAAAUGCGUAGAGAUGUGGAGGAACACCGAUGGCGAAGGCAGCCCCCUGGGCUAACACUGACGCUCAUGCACGAAAGCGUGGGGAGCAAACAGGAUUAGAUACCCAGGUAGUCCACGCCCUAAACUAUGUCAACUGGUUGUCGGGGAAGCAAUUCCUUGGUAACGAAGCUAACGCGUGAAGUUGACCGCCUGGGGAGUACGGCCGCAAGGUUA
rnacentral:rRNA from 1 species